CCUACGGGAGACAGCAGUGGUGAAUAUUGCGCAAUGGGCGCACGCCUGACGCAGCGACGCCGCGUGAGGGAUGAAGGUCUUCGGAUCGUACACCUCUGUCAGCAGGGAAGAACGGUCACUGUGCUAAUCAGCAGUGAAUUGACGGUACCUGCAAAGGAAGCACCGGCUAACUCCGUGCCAGCAGCCGCGGUAAUACGGAGGGUGCGAGCGUUAAUCGGAAUUACUGGGCGUAAAGCGCUCGUAGGCGGUAUGUCAAGUCAAGGGUGAAAUCCCCGCGCUCAACGUGGGAACUGCCUUUGAAACUGGCAAACUGGAGUGUGUGAGAGGAUAGUGGAAUUCCAGGUGUAGGAGGGAAAUCCGUAGAUAUCUGGAGGAACAUCAGUGGCGAAGGCGACUAUCUGGCACAUAACUGACGCUGAGGAGCGAAAGCGUGGGUAGCAAACAGGAUUAGAUACACCGGUAGUC
rnacentral:rRNA from 1 species